UCAUUUAUUUACUAAGGAGUAAAACUAUAUAGUUUAAACUUAAAAAUUAUGGCGGCUAAAUAAAACACUUAGGGGAACUUACCAUAUAAUUGAUAGUCRCCAAGCAUAAUCAUACUUACUUUUAAAAUUUGUAUACCGUUGCCUUCAUGAGCCCCUUCGAAGGGGCUCAUGACUAUUAAUUAAAUAUUAAGACAAAUCAAGGUGCAGUUUAUUAGUGAGAACUAAGGUGAGUUACAAUAAAAAAUUUUUUUCGGAAUUUUUAAUGAAAGAUUAUAUAAAGAUGGACUUAAAAGUAAUAAUUUAAGAAUAAA
rnacentral:rRNA from 1 species